rnacentral:lncRNA from 1 species
CUCUAACUCCUCCCACUGAGAUGACCCAUAGUACCCCAUUCCUUGCUGCAAUGUAAUUAUAUUUAAUUACAAGUGUGCCCCUGGUAGUCUUUAACUGAAGGGCACUGACUGGGUCACUGGUGAAGUUCCCCGCAGGAACUGAGUCAGACCCCAUCUCAGGGCCCUGCACAAGAUAGGUGCCUGCUCUAAGGCGUGGACCCUCGCCACAGCCCUGGCCCGUCUUGACGGGCGAGGGUUACUGUACUUGUCCCAACCGUACAGAUGAGAAAGCUGAGACUCAGGGCCAGCAACCCGGGUCCCAGCGGAGCGCCCGGCACACGCCGACACUUCAGCACCAGUGGCGGUGGCCACCACUGUGGGCGGAGAUGGCUGCGACGCGUGCGCAGGCAGCAGUAGGGCUUAUGGGAGCCAUUGUACAGUGACAGGAACAUACCAGGACACUGAGAAUAGCGUCAUGUCAUAAGGACUCAGAGCAGGUGGACCCUGCUGUGAUGCACAAAGGUGAGGGUGCAGCUGCCCAGGACACACUCAUGCAUGUUUGUGUGGACCAUGGAAGAUGGCAGGGGAAGAGCUGUCAGGUUGCUGGGGCAGAGGGUGCGCAUGAGUACUCGCCUAGGACCAUGCAAGAUAUGAUAAAGAUCUAUGUCACUGAAUUUUGUUUCUGUAUUUGUAUCUCAGCUUCCCAGAAAUAAAAAAGAAUUCUAACAUUCA